AGACCAAACUGCCACUCACAAACAGUGUUCUUGCCUGCCUUUGGACAUUGCUCCUCCACAAUUGUUCCCAAGCUGGUCACCAUC